AGGAAUUGAGCUACUCUGGUAACAGAGAGCUAUCCUAGGUUAAACUCAGAAGUUUUUAAUCGACUGUCUUUGGCUGUUCAGCUUUGAGGGAACUAAACUCUCAAACUGUUCUUUGACAACUGAAUAAGUGAUAUAAGAGAAAACCAAUUCUCAAAUUUGUAGAUCAACCGACAAUAUUUAAUUGUUGUCAAAUUCGUUGAAUCUCAAUCGCAAAAGUUACUUCAACUUCUUCUUGAUUCUUUCAAGUAGGGAGUUUGGCGUAAAGGUAAGCUACUAAGGGCGUUCGGUGGAUGCCUUGGC
rnacentral:misc_RNA from 1 species